GACGAACGCUGGCGGCGCGCCUAACACAUGCAAGUCGAACGAGCGAGAGAGAGCUUGCUUUCUCAAGCGAGUGGCGAACGGGUGAGUAACGCGUGAGGAACCUGCCUCAAAGAGGGGGAAAACAGUUGGAAACGACUGCUAAUACCGCAUAAGCCCACAGGUCGGCAUCGACCAGAGGGAAAAGGAGCAAUCCGCUUUGAGAUGGCCUCGCGUCCGAUUAGCUAGUUGGUGAGGUAACGGCCCACCAAGGCAACGAUCGGUAGCCGGACUGAGAGGUUGAACGGCCACAUUGGGACUGAGACACGGGCCAGACUCCUACGGGAGGCAGCAGUGGGGAAUAUUGCACAAUGGGGGAAACCCUGAUGCAGCGACGCCGCGUGGAGGAAGAAGGUCUUCGGAUUGUAAACUCCUGUUGUUGAGGAAGAUAAUGACGGUACUCAACAAGGAAGUGACGGCUAACUACGUG
rnacentral:rRNA from 1 species